rnacentral:rRNA from 1 species
UACGGGGUGAGCAAGCGUUGUUCGGAUUUACUGGGCGUAAAGGGCGCGUAGGCGGCGCAACAAGUCACUUGUGAAAUCUCCGGGCUUAACCCGGAGCGGCCAAGUGAUACUGUCGUGCUAGAGUGCGGAAGGGGCUACUGGAAUUCUCGGUGUAGCGGUGAAAUGCGUAGAUAUCGAGAGGAACACCUGCUGCGAAGGCGGGUAGCUGGGCCGACACUGACGCUGAGGCGCGAAAGCCAGGGGAGCGAACGGG